rnacentral:lncRNA from 1 species
AUGGUACCUUAUUCAAAAUUUAUGCAGCUAUUUCUCGGGCAUAUCUCCAAAAUGAGAUUGGAAGGUGAAAGAAUAAUACUCUACAAGCCAAUCGCAUAUGGGAUACAAUAGGAUGUUAAUUGUAAUUUAUCUUUUAGACUCAUGUAAUUAAUAUUUAUAUUAUCAAUAAAAUAGAUAUUUUUGAUUCAUUAUAUACUGUAUUUUAUUAAUUUUAAGAUUAUAAUGAA